CACCCCCAUGCUUCACAGUAGGGAUGGUGUGUUUGGGAUGGUACUCAUCAUUCUACUUCCUCCAAACACGUUUAGUGGAAUUAUGACCAAAAAAUUCUAUUUUGGUCUCAUCUGACCAAAUUACUUUCUCCCAUGACUCCUCUGGAUCAUCCAAAUGGCAAACAUUGGCAAACUUAAGACAGGCCUGGACAUGUGCUGGUUUAAGCAGGGGAACCUUCCCUGCCAUGCAUGAUUUCAAACCAUGACGUCUUAGUGGAUUACUGAUUUUGAAGCAGUUGAUGGUAAAACUUUGGAAGAAACAGUACAGCAUCUUAAAACAACAACCUGCACCCUUGACACACUCCCAACAUCUUUUUUCAAAAGUGUCUUUAACUGUUUAGAAGCAGAUCUCCUAGAAGUGGUAAAUUCAUCACUUAUCUCUGGGACUUUUCCAAAGUCCCUUAAAACUGCAGUUGUUAAGCCCCUCCUGAAAAAGAGCAACUUGGAUAACACUGUGUUGAGCAACUACAGACCAAUCUCUAAUCUUCCUUUCAUAGGCAAGAUCAUUGAAAAAGUUGUUUUUAAUCAACUGAACAAAUUCUUAAUUUCUAAUGGUUACUUUGACAUUUUCCAAUCUGGUUUCCAACCGCACCACAGUAGAGCUGAAGAUCUUUGCCCGAACCCGACAGGACCCGUCGGGACCCGACGGGCUCGGGCGGGUUCGGGCUUCCUUUCUAACAUUUUACACGGGCUCGGGGCGGGCUCGGGCUUGCGCUCCGGCUUUGUGAGGUAAAUGAGCGGUCAAGUUCAAUCAGUAGCGCAGGAUCGCGCUGAAUUCAUUUACAGUGGAUUGGAUUUAAUGAUUUUCCUCAUCAAAAACAUGUAGCCUAAUCUUGGUGAGUAGGUUUUUCAAUGUAUAACUAAAUAUGAAUCGAGUCUUAAAUACAUAAUUUAGACAGAGGAUAUAGACUAAUGUUGGCAGUAAUGGAGAGAAGUGCCGACGCAAAUCCCGCGGAGCCUUUCUCUUAAUUUCGUUAUUGCCAAAUACCCAUCUUAAUUCAGAAUGUAUUAUCUUAAUUUAAUUCGUUAAGAAAUAAUAAUUUUAUUGGCAUAUUUAUAGUGUAUUGCAUAAGCCUAUUUAGAAUGAGAUGUUACAAUGUUACAGAUGACUUAUUUUAUUUCUUUGUUUCAACUUCCAAGUGGCGUGUAGAUUAUUAGUCAUGAAUAAAUAAUGUUAAAACCUGUGUAAAUUUCUCAUUCUUGACAAAAGCUGUGUGUGUGCGCACAUUUAAAUAAUGUCGGGCUGUAAACGGGUUCGGGCUUUUAAAUAGCUGUCAAUCUAAAUGUACGUUCGGGUUCGGGCUGCAUUCUGUCGGGCUCCGGACAUUUCGGGCCUAACUUUUAAGGCCCGAUUACAGCUCUACACCACAGUACAGUGACAGCGCUCAUAAAGAUAAUAAAUGAUAUUCGCCUCAAUACAGACACAGGCAAACUAUCAGUGCUGGUGCUACUCGACCUCAGUGCUGCUUUUGACACUGUCGAUCACAACAUACUUCUUGACAGGCUGGAAAACUGGGUCGGGCUUUCUGGGAUGGUCCUAAAAUGGUUCAGGUCAUACUUAGAAGGGAGAGGUUAUUAUGUAAGUAUAGGUGGCCAUAAAUCUGAGUGGAGAUCCAUGACAUGCGGAGUCCCGCAAGGCUCAAUUCUUGCGCCACUCCUGUUCAACCUGUAUAUGCUCUCACUAAGCCAAAUAAUGAGAGAGAAAAAAUUGCCUAUCACAGUUAUGCAGACGACACCCAGAUCUACUUAGCUCUAUCCCCUAACGACUACAGCCCCAUUAGCCGUGUUUGCACUAUCGGGCUUCAAGCGGGCGUGCCAGUGCCUGCCGAGGCCUGUGGCGUUUGCAUUGUCACUUCCGGGGCAUGAUCGUGCUUCACUGGUGCUUCGUUGGGGCUUAAGGCCCGGCUUUUCUGGCCCGCCGAAUUCCUUGGGCCAGAGCGGGCUUCUCGGGGCUAGGGGAGUGGUAAAGGUCAAAGGCGGAGUUUAUCUGAGUCUCUGGCAAGAUGCGCAUCCAUCUGUCUGCAGAUUUAAAACUUUUAAAAUAUUCGGGAUCACCAGUAAUUUACUGUUUAACGGAAGAUCCCUGCUAUGUUUGUACUUCAGACUGAAGAAAAUGAUCUGCAUAUGUAAAAAACAAAAGACGCGUUAUGACGCCGAACUCGCCAUGCUAAGGACCCGGCGCACACCGCUACCGGUUCGGGAGAAGUUUAUAAAGUUUCGGGCACAGAACAAAGUGUUUAAAGUGCAACAGUGCUGAGAAAUUAAGGAUGUGUGUUGAAUCAUCAUUUCAUCGUCCAUGUAUUAAAGAAGCGAUCACUCUAGUCACGAUGGUAUCUACAGUCGAAAAAUGCCAACGUAAAGCUUUCAGUUUGUCAUCCAGGAGUUUUUAUUUAGUAUAUGAGAGAUGACACAGCAACAAAUGCAAGAGCAGGAGAUGAAACGAAGAUGAUGAUGAUGAGACGACAGGAGCCAUGGAUCUUAAAAUCUGUCCGGAGGAGAUGUCUUUAAAUACACCUGUUUGUGCACUGAUAUAAACUUCAUAUGUAAAUAAAGUACCGCGUUAUUAUUA